rnacentral:rRNA from 1 species
AUUGAACGCUGGCGGUAGGCCUAACACAUGCAAGUCGAACGCGAAAGUCCUUCGGGAUGAGUAGAGUGGCGGACGGGUGAGUAACGCGUAGGAAUCUAUCCUGUAGUGGGGGAUAACGUUUCGAAAGGAACGCUAAUACCGCAUACGCCCCAAGGGGGAAAGCGGGGGAUCUUCGGACCUCGUGCUAUAGGAGGAGCCUGCGUCGGAUUAGCUAGUUGGUGAGGUAAAGGCUCACCAAGGCGACGAUCCGUAGCUGGUCUGAGAGGAUGAUCAGCCACACCGGAACUGAGACACGGUCCGGACUCCUACGGGAGGCAGCAGUGGGGAAUAUUGCGCAAUGGGCGAAAGCCUGACGCAGCCAUACCGCGUGUGUGAAGAAGGCCUUCGGGUUGUAAAGCACUUUCAGUGGGAGGAAAGACGUGUGGGCUAAUACCCAUACGGCCGUGACGCUACCACAGAAGAAGCACCGGCUAAUUACCGUGCCAGCAAGCCGCGGAAACA